GGGACACGUGGUAUCCUGUCUGAAUAUGGGGGGACCAUCCUCCAAGGCUAAAUACUCCUGACUGACCGAUAGUGAACCAGUACCGUGAGGGAAAGGCGAAAAGAACCCCGGCGAGGGGAGUGAAAAAGAACCUGAAACCGUGUACGUACAAGCAGUGGGAGCACAGGUUUACCUGUGUGACUGCGUACCUUUUGUAUAAUGGGUCAGCGACUUAUAUUCUGUAGCAAGGUUAACCGUAUAGGGGAGCCGGAGGGAAACCGAGUCUUAAUUGGGCGUUAAGUUGCAGGGUAUAGACCCGAAACCCGGUGAUCUAGCCAUGGGCAGGUUGAAGGUUGGGUAACACUAACUGGAGGACCGAACCGACUAAUGUUGAAAAAUUAGCGGAUGACCUGUGGCUGGGGGUGAAAGGCCAAUCAAACCGGGAGAUAGCUGGUUCUCCCCGAAAGCUAUUUAGGUAGCGCCUCGUGAAUUCAUCUCCGGGGGUAGAGCACUGUUUCGGCUAGGGGGCCAUCCCGGCUUACCAACCCGAUGCA
rnacentral:rRNA from 1 species